UCCCCGUUGCCGAGGCAGUCUCGUAAGACACAGGUAACUUACGACGAGGGUUGCGCUCGUUAAGGGACUUAACCCUACAUCUCACGACACGAGCUGACGACGGCCAUGCAUCACCUGUCACCAGUCCAACUAAAUGACCAUCUGCUUUCACAGACGUACGACUGGGAUGUCAAGCCUUGGUAAGGUUCUACGCGUAUCAUCGAAUUAAACCACACGCUCUACCGCUUGUGCGGGUCCCCGUCAAUUCCUUUGAGUUUUAAGCUUGCGCUCGUACUCCCCAGGCGGGGCACUUAAUGCGUUAGCUACGGCA
rnacentral:misc_RNA from 1 species